rnacentral:rRNA from 1 species
UUAAGUCCCGCAACGAGCGCAACCCUUAUCCUGCGUUGCCAGCGCGUCAUGGCGGGGACUCGUGGGAGACUGCCGGGGUCAACUCGGAGGAAGGUGGGGAUGACGUCAAGUCAUCAUGCCCCUUAUGUCCAGGGCUUCACACAUGCUACAAUGGCUGGUACAGAGGGCUGCGAUACCGCGAGGUGGAGCGAAUCCCUUAAAGCCGGUCUCAGUUCGGAUCGCAGUCUGCAACUCGACUGCGUGAAGUCGGAGUCGCUAGUAAUCGCAGAUCAGCAACGCUGCGGUGAAUACGUUCCCGGGCCUUGUACACACCGCCCGUCACGUCAUGAAAGUCGGUAACACCCGAAGCCCAUGGCCCAACCCGCGAGGGAGGGAGUGGUCGAAGGUGGGACUGGCGAUUGGGACGAAGUCGUAACAAGGUAGCCGUACCGGAAGGUGCGGCUGGAUCACCUCCUU